CUGCAGCGACUGCACCAGUUGCUCGAGCUCUUCCCACUGCAGGAGCUCAGAACUGACAAGAACCCUGACCAAAGCAGUAACUCCUGGUUCUGCUGGUACACCUCUUGUACCUGGAGCUGGCUCUCCAUCUGGCUGAGACGUCAUCUUUAACACUUCAAAACAAGCCUAAGGAGAAAAGAUUUUGGUGAUGUGACAUGAAAACAGACAGCACAAAUAUAGACCAGGAUGACAGAAGAUGUACACGCUGGGUGUUGAAUACCAUUUGGAAACCAAACCGCAGUUACUUGACAGUCCAGGAAAUUUUUCACAGCUGAGCCAUUGUGUUUUCUUCAGAAGUUCGAAAUAAGACUGGCAGAUUCAUGUCCAUAUUCACCCACGCAGCAAAGUACUGGAAGAACUGCAUUAUUUCAUCCCACUCUUCAGUGAGUUUCUAUUAUUUACCAUUGCAUGUUCAAAAUAGUUGAUGGGUGAAGGAAUGCUGGCUGGUUUUACGCUAAGAAAAAAGCCUCCACAAGUUCACAUUCAGUACAAUGGAAGGACAGAACCUGCCUGUACAAAUCUAUCCUACGCUGACCUAAGCAGAAGCAUUAGAGGUCAUAUAAAUGUUCCUUGUCUUAGUUACUGAAUCUGGUUUCUGUAAUCUGAAGACACAAUGAAGGUAAGGCUGCUUACACACUAUUUUCAGUUGUUUUUCAGGACAAUGGAUUUAAUGACAUAAAAAUGAAUUAACUGACUCUCCUGUCCUUACACUCUAUUAAUUGAAGAUACUUGAAGUUGAACUGGAAAAGCAGUACAUACAAGAUUUAUUGUUCCCGAUGGAAUCUUAGUCCUGCUGCCUUUUAUAUCCAUUCUGAU